GACCUGGUGGUGGAGUUGGAUUCACAUGUACUUUCUGUAUUCACAUGUACUUUCUGUAAAGCCAGAUUUGGGAGAUAUAAGCAGGAGACCCUCGUUCGAAUCGGGGCCAGGUCA